AGUAAAGUGGCGCACGGGUGAGUAACGCGUAAGCAAUCUACCAUGAGGACGGGAAUAACCCCGCGAAAGCGGGGCUAAAACUCGAUGAUNNNNCGGCUCCGCAUGGAGACAGUUGUUAAAGUCUCGGCGCAAGCCGGGAGCCUCAUGAUGAGCCUGCGUCUGAUUAGCUAGUUGGCGGGGUAACGGCCCACCAAGGCGACGAUCAGUAGCUGGUCUGAGAGGAUGAUCAGCCACACUGGAACUGAGACACGGUCCAGACUCCUACGGGAGGCAGCAGUGAGGAAUAUUGCGCAAUGGCCGAAAGGCUGACGCAGCGACGCCGCGUGGAGGAUGAAGUCCGUUUGGAUGUAAACUCCUUUUGCAGGGGAUGAAUGUUCCGCCUCGCGCGGACUUGACCGUACCCUGCGAAUAAGGAUCGGCUAACUACGUGCCAGCAGCCGCGGUAAUACGUAGGAUCCGAGCGUUGUCCGGAAUUACUGGGUGUAAAGGGCGUGUAGGUGGGUCUCUAAGUCGGGGGUGAAAUCCUACAGCUUAACUGUAGAAUUGCUUCCGAAACUGGAGAUCUUGAGUGCGGUAGAGGGAGAUGGAAUUCAUGGUGUAGCGGUGAAAUGUGUAGAUAUCAUGAAGAACACCGGUAGCGAAGGCGGUCUCCUGGCCCGCAACUGACACUGAGGCGCGAAAGCGUGUGGAGCAAACAGGNNNNNNNNCCCUGGUAGUCCACGCCCUAAACGAUGU
rnacentral:rRNA from 1 species